UUGUAUUUGCCUCGUAUUUACUGUCAUGGAAACUUACAAAGAACUAUUGACAGAUUACACUUCUAAAAUACCAUGUACUUUGUGCAACAAAUUUUCAGUUAAUGAUGGAUCCAUUAUUUGUAGUCAAUGUUUAAGUAGUUCAAGUGAUAUUGAAGACUUGAAUACGUUUGUUACAACAGGAUUGAAUUUGUUUACAAAGAAAAGUAUUAUGGAAAUAGCAUCUUCUCAAUUGCUAAAAUCUAUUUAUUCUGGUCAAUUAUACAGUUACAGACAUAACUGGUUUAUUGCUGGUGGAGAAGAUAAAAAAAAUCUUUCUAACGGAGAUCUUCUUAGUCUUUUGUCAGAAGAUCAAUCACAUGAUCUUUUUAAUGCUUUUGUUUUAGCUUUUAACAAGUUGAAGGCUGAAGUAGCUCUGAGUGCUUACAUUUCUGAAAGAGAUAAAAAACGUUUCUGUAGCUCACCAGAAGCAUAUUGUACGACUGGUAAGACUGAAAUCCCUUGAAGAUAUUGGCAAAUCAUCUAAAAGUUCUAAUGAUUUAGAUAUAAAGACAACUAUUAUGAUUGAUGAACCACCUGGAUGUUCAGCAAAUAUAACAGGUGAUAAAAACGAAUCAGUUGGCAUCAAUGAUAAUUGUGACAGUAAAGAUGAGGUUAUUUGGAAAGUGGGACAAAAGUUUACAAGUAUUGAAUUGGUAGAGGCUUGUAAAACUAAUUAUGAGUUAAAACGACUUUGUCAACUUGUGAAGAGUAAAGUAAGAUCUUUAGAAGCUGCUAAAAAGAGAAUUCCUAAACGAAUUGCUUUAGCUAAUAUGGCAUUGCACUACCAAACUUUACAGUUUGUUUGCAAGUUUAGUGGAAAGUCGAGUCAGCCAGAAUUAGAAAGAAAGAGAAAAACUAAAUCCUUCCGUUGUGGUUGUCCAUUUGAAAUUGUGCUGGAACUUUCAGUUGACAAUCAGCACCUACAAGUGGUGCGUGUACAAGAAUGAAAAAAAUGAUUCAUCUUUUAAUUUUGAAAAAAGUGACGAAAUUGGAAACUAUAACAUAAAACAUUCUAAGUUUUUGAUUGCGUCAAAAGAGUUUUGCAAUUGCAGAUUCAUGUCUAAAAUGGAAUUACCAUGUUACCAUUUAUUCCAACUGCGCAAGUUUUUGAUGCUACCUAUGUUUGAUGUACAGUUAGUAAAUCGAAGAUGGACUAAGGAAUAUUAUAAUCAAUCUCUUCGAGCAAGAAACGAUACCAGUAUAACUUUUGGAAAACGAGGGUGGUAUGGUAAUUUUCAAAAAAAGACAAGCGCAACUGGAGGUUAUAUUACAACAAUGGCAAAAAGGAGAAGAAGUGACGCUGGUGACAAAUGAUAAUAUUAUAGAAGUUGAUAACGUUGACUUGAUGGAAUUUGAUUGUCACGUCACUAAAACAGGCAUUGAGAAGAUCAAAUCAAGCCCUAUCAGUACAAAUAAACAUAUUGAUUCUAUUGAGACUUUCCCCCUUCUUUCUGAAAAGGAUGUUCCUCAAAAUCCCGCAAAGUUAGAUCUCAAAGAAGUAUUAAUGCCGCCAAAAAUGAAAAACAAAGGCCGGCCGAAAGGGGCUAAUACAACAGUUAUUGGUGUCCCUAAAAAAAAGAAUUAUCUGAAACCAAUACCAUACAUUAAGCUAUUACCUAAAGAUAAAGACAGAUUUAUUUUAACCCGCAUAGUACAGGUUCCAGCUGUUGAAUUAGCAUUGAGUGGGGGGAAACUAAUUUGUUCGUCAGACAUCAAAAAAUCAGUUUUUUUGCCAGAUUCUCUUCGUGGUGAGAAAUCUUUGGAUAUAGAGAGGGUAGAAAUGUUUUUUAAACCUGCAGCGUGGAAAGUUCUCAAAUCUGCAAUUAUUAGCAAAAAAAAGCAACAAUGGAUUUGUUCGAUUUGUAGGAACAUAUUAAAAGAUGAAGAAGAUAGUAUUAGUUGCGAUUGCUGCUUGUUGUGGAGUCAUUUAAAAUGCUCUACGCUGCGAAAAACACCUAAAACAAAAUAUUGGUUUUGUAAUAGUUGUAGGUUAGAAUCAACAUGUUGAUGGGGAAUAAUUUAAUACUUAACAAUAUUACCCGCCCUUUACUUUUGCAUGUUUUGUCAACCUGAUACUUUUUAUAUACAAAGAAGAUCAAAGUUACGACCAAUUAAAAAAUGUUAAAGUUACUAUCUGUAAAAGCUUUACCUAAAGGUAAAAGUUACUGCCUGGUGUGUAGUUUUUCAUAUUCUUUAAACCCGGCACUUUUUACAUAAAGGUAAAAUUUACUGCCUGGUUUAGAGUUUUUCAUAUUUUAUAAACCCGGCACUUUUUACAUAAGAAAAAGCAAAGGUAAAAGUUACUGUCUGGUGUAUAGUUUUUCAUAUUCUUUAAACCCGGCACUUUUUACAUAAAGGUAAAAUUUAUUGCCUGGUUUAUAGUUUUUCAUAUUUUUUAAACCCGGCACUUUUUACAUAAAGGUAAAAGUUACUGCCUGAUGUGUAGUUUUACAUAUUUUAUAAACCCGGCACUUUUUACGUAAGAAAAAGCAAAGGUUACUGUCUGGUGUAUAGUUUUUCAUAGUUUUUAAACCCGGCACUUUUUAUAUAAAUGUGAAAGUUACUGCCUGGUGUGUAGUUUUUCAUAUUUUAUAAACCCGGCACUUUUUACUUAAGAAGAUAUAUUAGUUUACUCGGUGCCGGGCAUGUAGUUUUCGACAUUUAUAACUGCCCGGCAUUUUUUCUAAUAAAAAGUAACGCAUGCGUACUUGAACUGCCGGGCAUGUAUGUUUUACGUUUUUACUACCCGGCUGCCGGGCAUGCAGACGCGGCGAUUUUUUAAAUGAAUUUACAAAGUUCAACAUAAUUGUUAAACAUAUGUUCCAGAAACUAUUAAACAUGUAGUAAAUGUUCCAUUGAGACACUGUUUGCAUUUUUAAA
rnacentral:misc_RNA from 1 species